rnacentral:rRNA from 1 species
GAUGAACGCUGGCGGCGUGCUUAACACAUGCAAGUCGAACGGAAAGGCCCCUGUUGCUUGGAGCUCUCGUGUGGAACAGGUGAGAAACACACGUGUGAUCUGCCCUGCGCUUCUUGAUAUACCUGUGAAACUGGGUCUCAUACCCCAUAGGACCCCUUCUUGUAGGUGGUGGUGGAAAAUUUUUUCUCUGUGGGAUAAGAUCUCGCCCUAUCUCCUUGUGGGGGGGGUAAUGUGCUACCCAGGCGUCUACAGGUAUCCCCCCUGAGAGAGUGUACAGCCACAUUGUGACUGAGAUACACCCCCCACACCUACAGGAGGCACCACUGGGGAAUAUUGCGCACUGUGCGCAAGCCUGAUACACCGACACCCCGCGGGGGAUAACACCCUUCUCGUUGUAAACUCUUUUCUCCCCAAACAAAAUUUUACAGUAUUUGUAGAAAAAACACCCCCUAUCUAUAUGCCACCACCCGCGCUAAUACACAUGGUGCGAGAGCUGUCCCCAAUUACUGGGCGUAAAGAGCUCGUAGGUGGUUUGUCGCGUCGUUUGUGCAUACCCGGCUUAACUGUGCGACUGCAGGCGAUACGGGCAUAACUUGAGUGCUGUAGGGGAGACUGGAAUUCCUGGUGUAGCGGUGAAAUGCGCAGAUAUCAGGAGGAACACCGAUGGCGAAGGCAGGUCUCUGGGCAGUAACUGACGCUGAGGAGCGAAAGCAUGGGGAGCGAACAGGAUUAGAUACCCUGGUAGUCCAUGCCGUAAACGGUGGGCGCUAGGUGUGAGUCCCUUCCACGGGGUUCGUGCCGUAGCUAACGCAUUAAGCGCCCCGCCUGGGGAGUACGGCCGCAAGGCUAAAACUCAAAGGAAUUGACGGGGGCCCGCACAAGCGGCGGAGCAUGUGGAUUAAUUCGAUGCAACGCGAAGAACCUUACCUGGGCUUGACAUACACCAGAUCGCCGCAGAGAUGUGGUUUCCCUUGUGGUUGGUGUACAGGUGGUGCAUGGUUGUCGUCAGCUCGUGUCGUGAGAUGUUGGGUUAAGUCCCGCAACGAGCGCAACCCUUGUCUUAUGUUGCCAGCACAUAAUGGUGGGGACUCAUGAGAGACUGCCGGGGUUAACUCGGAGGAAGGUGGGGAUGACGUCAAAUCAUCAUGCCCCUUAUGUCCAGGGCUUCACACAUGCUACAAUGGUCGGUACAACGCGCAGCUUCCCUGUGAGGGGGAGCGAAUCGCUGUAAAGCCGGCCGUAGUUCGGAUUGGGGUCUGCAACUCGACCCCAUGAAGUCGGAGUCGCUAGUAAUCGCAGAUCAGCAACGCUGCGGUGAAUACGUUCCCGGGCCU